UACGGAGGGUGCGAGCGUUGUCCGGAAUCAUUGGGCGUAAAGGGCGCGUAGGUGGCCCGGUCAGUUUGUGGUGAAAGCGCGGGGCUCAACUCCGCGUCGGCCAUGAAUACUGCUGGGCUGGAGCACUGUAGAGGCAGGCGGAAUUCCGGGUGUAGCGGUGGAAUGCGUAGAGAUCAUGAGGAAGACCAGUGGCGAAGGCGGGUCUUUGGACAGUUCCUGACACUGAGGCACGAAGGCCAGGGGAGCAAACGGG
rnacentral:rRNA from 1 species